rnacentral:rRNA from 1 species
AUACGGAGGGUGCAAGCGUUGUUCGGAAUCACUGGGCGUAAAGGGCGCGCAGGCGGUUUGGUAAAUCAGAUGUGAAAGCCCACGGCUCAACCGUGGAAGUGCAUUUGAAACUGCCAGACUUGAGUACCAGAGGGGAAAGUGGAAUUCCCGGUGUAGAGGUGAAAUUCGUAGAUAUCGGGAGGAAUACCGGUGGCGAAGGCGACUUUCUGGCUGGAUACUGACGCUGAGGCGCGAAAGCGUGGGGAGCAAACAGGAUUAGAAACCCUAGUAGUCC